GUCUAGUAAGCACUGGUGGCACUCAUCGUUCAUGGCCGGUGCAAAGUAUGUUAGUAACGAUGGCCUCUCCCCAGGGACGACGACCCACCCCCUGCCGUCGCCACCUACAACCCAAGGACCGCCUCUUAUCGCCUCGACAAGGUCUAUGACAACCCGGCCUAUGAUUCCAACGCUGUGUGACGUCCAGACUCCUCCCACCCUCACACUCACUCACAAGUUAUACCUCUUAAUGACAUUAUUUGAGGAGUAUUUUUUGCCUUUUGCCUUUUUGGGGGUAAAGAUGUACAAAGGGAGAUGACACUGUGUGGAUUUGGUGUUUUUUGUGGAUGUACAUAUUUCACUCACACGCACAGGUACAUAGUAUACGUACACUAACACACACAUUUAACACGGACGUACAUACACAAACACACACACACACACAUAUAUAUAUAUAUAUAUAUAUAUA